GCCUGGCUGGCUCAGUCAGCAGAGCAUGUGACUCUCGAUCUUGGGGUUGUGAGUUCAAGCCCCACUUUGGGCA
rnacentral:tRNA from 1 species